GCUGGUGUAGCUCAGUUGGUAGAGCAGCUGCCUUGUAAGCAGCAGGUCGUCGGAUCGAAGCCGACCGCCAGCUCCA
rnacentral:tRNA from 1 species